rnacentral:tRNA from 1 species
GCUUGGGAUAUAGCUCAGUUGGUAGAGUGCUUGCCUUGCAGGCACAAGGCCCUGGGGUCAAUCCCCAGCACUAGAUCA